AACGUAGGAGACAAACGUUAUCCGGAGUUACUGGGCGUAAAGGGCGUGUAGGUGGUAGAGUAAGUCUGGCGUGAAAUUUUUCGGCUUAACCGGGAAAGGUCGUCGGAUACUGCUUAACUAGAGGACGGUAGAGGCGUGUGGAAUUCCGGGUGUAGUGGUGAAAUGCGCAGAUAUCAGGAGGAACACCAAUUGCGAAGGCAGCUCGCUGGGACGUUACUGACGCUGAGACGCGAAAGCAUGGGGAGCGAACAGG
rnacentral:rRNA from 1 species